rnacentral:rRNA from 1 species
AUGCUUCUACUUUCUGUAUGGAGCUAGGAGUGUCUGCCUGUUGGACGCCCAAAGAGCGUCAAGUUUAAUCCUUGGGAUGAAGAUGACGAAUUACGGUGCCCCACUUGGGCUUACAAGUGGGAUGUGGUUUCCGAGAUGACGAACGAUGUCAAUCUCAUGUACCAAAAGUACAUUGCCUAG